rnacentral:rRNA from 1 species
AGUGAACGCUGGCGGUAGGCCUAACACAUGCAAGUCGAACGGCAGCACAGUAAGAGCUUGCUCUUACGGGUGGCGAGUGGCGGACGGGUGAGGAAUACAUCGGAAUCUACUUUUUCGUGGGGGAUAACGUAGGGAAACUUACGCUAAUACCGCAUACGACCUACGGGUGAAAGCAGGGGAUCUUCGGACCUUGCGCGAUUGAAUGAGCCGAUGUCGGAUUAGCUAGUUGGCGGGGUAAAGGCCCACCAAGGCGACGAUCCGUAGCUGGUCUGAGAGGAUGAUCGGCCACACUGGAACUGAGACACGGUCCAGACUCCUACGGGAGGCGGCAGUGGGGAAUCUUGGACAAUGGGCGCAAGCCUGAUCCAGCCAUACCGCGUGGGUGAAGAAGGCCUUCGGGUUGUAAAGCCCUUUUGUUGGGAAAGAAAAGCAGCAGGUUAAUACCCCGCUGUUCUGACGGUACCCAAAGAAUAAGCACCGGCUAACUUCGUG